rnacentral:tRNA from 2 species
GUCUCCGUAGCUCAGUUGGUAGAGCAACUGACUCUUAAUCAGUGGGUCUGGAGUUCGAGCCUCCACGGGGACA